rnacentral:lncRNA from 1 species
CUUCACUCACUUGAGAUCAUGGAAAUUUUCCUGCGUGCCAGCUGGGAUCACAAAUUCAUCCAGAGAGGUAGCUGGUUUCACUUCAUAAAUGCAGCAGCAAGUUAUUCCCAGUCCAUCCUCUCCUCGUAUCAGGUACAGCUGCAAGUUGGAGGGACGUGCUUGUAGUAAGAUAAACAAGGAAUCAGUCUCUUGAAAAAGGUAACAUUUUAGGACUUCAGUUCUGGCUGAGCUCAGUGUCUAUUGAAAAAAACAUCUCAACCUCAGAUAACUACCAUGUUCCUCAGUCAGGUCUUGUUGUCAUGGUAGUGAUGUAUUUGAUCUAUAUUUAUAACAUAAGAUUUUGAAUAGAUUAUUUCUGCUUUUGGAGUAGAGGGGAAUGGGUGGCUAUUCCCAUUUAAAAAGUAUGGUUUAAAUGGUAUUUAUUUAAAAAAAAAAAAAAAACGCUGUUUCUUCAGGUAAGACACAAAAGCUAGAGAUAGUUACCUUUGCUUGCCAGUUUAAUGCUAGAAUGUGCUUGAACUUAUUGCUGAACAUGGCUUCCAGAUGUGCCAGCAGAGAGUGCCAUUGUUACAGGUUUUUGUAAAUCUUGCUACAUGUCCUUCUGCAUCUUUAGGAAGCCAGAAAUUUCUGUAAAUCUGGCCUUACGCUACUUUGGAAAACAUUUUUCGCAAGUUGUACCCACCAUUAAAAAGAUUGAUGUAGGAGAUUAAGCUAAAUGCACAAAACACUUUCAUUUUCUUUAUUUUCAAUCGAUACUGUAUGAAUACAAAGUUUCUAGAAAGCUACAAAAAUUCUACCACUUUAUCAAGAAGGCAUCAAAAUGUGUCACUUUGCAAAGACAUGAAAACACCUGCAGUAACCGACACAAAAAUAGCAUUUUUAGAGUGAUGAAAUAAUUGCACUUAACUGUCAUGGAUAUUAAAGUUAUCACACAUAUGUACCGCGAAAGCUAGAAUACAUUUUUUUUUUUUUUACAAAGCACUUUAUAAAAAAAUUCUCUGCACACAAAACCUAUAAUUUUCAUAUUACUAUCAUACUAAAGAUAAAUUCACUUUAAAGCCAACACUUAAAACAUUUUAAACAAAAAAAGGUACCAGUACCUACACACAGACAAUAACAAAUACAAGAAUACUGUACUGCCAAGAGGUUUGACUGAAACUCCUUUUGAAAGCUUCUGCAAAUAUGUUAAGAAAACAUUGGAGAACAUUCACUUUUUUCAAAGAGCCUUCCCUCCCUUGUCUAACCUAGAGGUACUUUAUCAUCAAAAGGCAAGUUCUACAUCAAAAGUUACCAGCAGCAGUACAAUAUUAAAGUAACCACUGACCAUAUAUGAAUAUGCUUAAGUCACAAACCCAUUUUAUACACAUUACACAAAUAAACAUAAAGUGAGAAUUCCA